UCACCCAUCGUAUCGGUCAGGUAGGCACGGCCGAUCCGGCGCCAGCAGCGGCGGUGCUCGACCUUCAGGCAUCAGAGCUGCGGGACAUCACACGCACCGCUACGAUCUCCUCCUGCGAGCGAGAUCUCACCACCGCAGCGGCGCCGCGGCCAUGGCGGGAAGGUAUCACCAGGAUCAGGGCGGGGACGGGGGCGCGUCCAUGGAGGUAGUCAGCACGCCGAACCAGGAGCUGGCCCUUACCAACUGCGCAUACGUCUCUCCCGCUGACCUCCGCCGCUUCCCCAACGGGCUCGCCCUCGUCGCUGACGCCUGGGUCUUCACCCUACGUGACCACAAUGCUGUUGCAAGUGGACGCAUUGCCUUGAAUGCUAUUCAGCGUCGGCAGGCAAAGGUUUCAGCUGGGGAUUCUGUUACUGUUAGCAGUUUUGUCCCCCCUGAUGAUUUCAAGUUGGCUUUGCUCACUUUAGAUCUAGAUUAUGCCAAGGCAAGAGCCAACCGAAAUGACGAGCUGGAUGCUGUUGUGCUUGCCCAACAACUCCGUAAGAGGUUUCUGAAUCAGGUCAUGACCUCAGGGCAAAGGGUGCCAUUUGAAUUUUAUGGAACAAACUAUGUAUUCACCGUCAAUCAAGCUUUGCUAGAGGGUCAAGAGAGUUCUACACCAUUGGAUAGAGGAUUCUUGUCCAGUGAUACAUACAUCAUAUUUGAGGCUGCUCCUAAUUCAGGAAUUAAGGUGAUCAACCAAAAGGAAGCUGCUAGCAGCAAGCUUUUCAAACAUAAAGAGUUUAACCUGGAAAAAUUGGGUAUAGGUGGAUUAAGCGCUGAAUUCACUGACAUAUUUCGUAGGGCAUUCGCUUCAAGAGUCUUUCCGCCUCAUGUUGUCAGUAAGUUGGGCAUCAAACAUGUUAAGGGUAUAUUGCUAUAUGGACCUCCUGGUACUGGCAAGACUCUAAUGGCCAGACAAAUUGGAAAGUUACUGAAUGGAAAAGAUCCCAAGAUUGUGAAUGGACCUGAAGUUCUGAGCAAGUUUGUUGGAGAAACUGAGAAGAAUGUGAGAGAUUUGUUUGCUGAUGCUGAAAAUGAGCAGAGAACACGAGGUGAUCAGAGUGACCUCCAUGUUAUCAUAUUCGAUGAAAUUGAUGCCAUCUGCAAGUCUAGAGGAUCUACCCGUGAUGGUACAGGUGUACAUGAUAGCAUUGUAAACCAGCUGCUUACAAAGAUAGAUGGUGUUGAGGCGUUGAAUAAUGUAUUGCUUAUUGGAAUGACGAAUCGUAAAGAUUUGCUUGAUGAAGCUUUAUUGAGACCUGGACGAUUGGAAGUACACAUUGAGAUAAACCUGCCUGAUGAAAAUGGUCGUUUGCAAAUCCUUCAAAUUCAUACAAAUAAGAUGAAGGAGAAUUCUUUCCUGUCUCCAGAUAUUAAUCUUCAGGAGCUAGCUGCGCGGACAAAGAACUACAGUGGAGCAGAGUUGGAAGGUGUUGUCAAAAGUGCUGUCUCAUUUGCUUUGAACCGGCAGAUAACCAUGGAUGACCUCACUAAACCUUUGGAUGAGGAAAGCAUCAAGGUUACCAUGGAUGAUUUUGUGAAUGCACUUCAUGAAAUUACCCCUGCAUUUGGUGCUUCCACCGAUGAUCUCGAAAGAUGCAGAUUGCGUGGUAUUGUUGAUUGUGGCAAGGCACAUAAGCACAUUUAUCAAAGAGCUAUGCUCCUCGUAGAGCAAGUUAAAGUUAGCAAAGGUAGCCCACUCGUGACUUGCCUAUUGGAAGGUCCUGCUGGAAGUGGGAAAACGGCUAUGGCAGCAAGUGUUGGCAUUGACAGUGAUUUUGCAUAUGUGAAAAUUAUAUCAGCAGAAACAAUGAUUGGUUUCAGUGAAAGCAGCAAAUGCGCACAGAUUUGCAAGGUUUUUGAGGACGCAUACAAGUCUCAGUUCAGCAUGAUAAUUCUUGAUGAUAUCGAAAGUAUUCUUGUAUGAUUUUGUAGGUUACUGGAGUAUGUAGCCAUCGGACCACGUUUUUCAAACUUGAUCUCACAAACUCUUCUGGUCCUCCUCAAGAGAGUUCCUCCUAAGGGAAAAAACUUGCUUGUCGUUGGAACAACAAGCGAGGUUGGCUUCCUAGAAUCUGUUGGAAUGUGUGACGUGUUCUCUGUGACCUACCAUGUUCCCAAACUGAAAAAGGAGGAUGCCAAAAAGGUAUUGCAUCAUCUUGAUGUGUUCGAUGACGGAGAUCUUGACGCAGCAGCAGAAGCACUGGACGAUAUGCCAAUCAAGAAGUUGUACACACUUGUUGAGAUGGCUGCUCAGGGGCCAACCGGAGGAAGUGCUGAAGCGAUUUAUGCCGGAGAGAAGAUAGAUAUCAACCAUUUCUUUAGCAUCUUGAGUGAUAUUAUCCGUUACUAAGCCCGCAUGGAGCCGAAAUGAACCCUAUAAGUAUCCAGUAGGAGUUUGUUUGCACCCGUGCUUCAUCAACCAUUUCUGUAGAUUGGUUUGAUCUUUGAUGUGUUGUUUUUGUUUGAUGCACCUACUAGAGCUGUUGGAUUAGAUCAGAGGCGAAUUACACGAUAUAUCAUUUUUGUAUUGUAUGACGAUGUUUAUACAGUUCUUAAUGGGAUCCAGCUUUACACCUCAGAACACC